rnacentral:rRNA from 1 species
CUUAUUAGAACAGAAGCCAACCAGUUCGUUCACACAGGCAUCGCCUUAACUGGUGGUGUUGGUGUGCGGCGGACUGUAGCACUUCUGGUGACUCUGGAUAAUUGUUACAGAUCGCAGUCGACCUUGAGUCGGCGACGGGUCCUUCAAAUGUCUGCCCUAUCAACUUUCGAUGGUAGGUGACCUGCCUACCAUGGUGAUAACGGGUAACGGGGAAUCAGGGUUCGAUUCCGGAGAGGGAGCCUGAGAAACGGCUACCACUUCCAAGGGAGGCAGCAGGCGCGCAAAUUACCCACUCCCGGUACGAGGAGGUGGUGACGAAAAAUAC